GCCAUGGUAGCUGAGCCCAGUCUGGCACAGGAAAAGGAGAUCCUGGGGGAAUCAGCCCCGAGCCACCUCCAGGUGAUGGAGGAAUAGAGGAGCCUUAGAGAAGCUGAAAGGCAGGGGGCAUGACUGGGUGUGUGUGGUAAGGAUUCCUGUGUCCUCAUCUCUGGAAUAAAUUGACACCUGCAGAGAGCCACCCGCGGGCUGGCGCCUGGCUCUGAAAACC
rnacentral:lncRNA from 1 species